ensembl:lncRNA
UGAAGGAUGUCGUCGUUUCACCACAGCAUUUAUUUUAUUAGCAAAAUAAUGGAAAUUAGUCCACUAUUAGUCCCCAUCCAAUGGAAACAGAAGGGUUGGGGGUUAGGGGGAUAUGUAACCUGAAACCAUUAUGAAACUUAUCGUCAACAUCAUAACAGUGCAAAUACACCCAUUCGCCUCCCUUUGUCCCCCUCGUCUGCUACAAGGCUGUAGUUGUCAUCCUCUUUUCAAAGUUUCUCUUUAAAAUAAUGAUUUGGUGUAGGAAUGUUACCAUCCGCAAUGUCACACCAACCAUGUGACGUCGCAUUAAAUAUACAUUUGCCUUUUUGGUACAUGUUCCAGAAAACCAGACUGAAAGAGGAUGACAAGUAAAAAGAGUCCCUUUGUAUUUAUAUCCACACAUUCAUGCAUGCUACUCACUCACUCAAGCAUACAGUCAUGCAGCAAAGGCACUCACACACAGUCAUGCACAAAGACACACACACAGCUCUUAGUAUGUAAGAGUGAGUUGGUCUAUCGAGAGCAAGUUAGUCUUAAUUGGCCUAUUCCAUCAUUUCCAUGGAUGCAAUAAUUCUGGGAUGUCAGUCAUGGAAACCAUAUUUGGAACCAAAUAGAGAUAUUUGGGGAGGGUGGUGUAAUUAAUUAUAACAUCUAAAUACAUCUAUUACAAUUUAGCUAACAAAAACAAACACACUGCAACUAAGGCAUGCAAAGGCACAAGUACCUACAAAUAGAAAAAAAGUGUCCAUUCCUCUCCUAGAAUAAGAAGAAACAAAAUGCAAAGGCCCCCCCUUUAAAAAAAUAAAACCUUGAACUCUUAAAACAAAAACAUUUUAAAAACAGUGAAAAACUCCGGCCUUAGUGACAGUUGUACAAAUAUUUUACACAAACGUUUUCUACAAGGCAUUUUAAAACCUUUCAGAGAUCAACAUAAGGUAAGAGGUUAAAAGAGACGUCCUUUACAAAGUGUCCAUGAUCCGCCCCCCUCCAGUCACAGACGCAAGAAAGUCACUGAGCGCACUCUGGCCACCACACUGCCUGUACAGAAAGAGGGUAAAACAAAAUGUUUAGAUAACACCUCUGAUAUGCUAGGUGCCUUGUCAUAAUGCCGAUACAAUCCCUUCAGACAUACACACCAGGUUAGGGGGGGUUUAUUUGGGUAUCUGUCCAGGCCUGACUCCAGAAAGUCUUAAGGUCCCGAAGUUAUUCCGAUUCCCACGUAAAAUAGCCUUUUGAGUGACUGAAACAAUCAUCCAAAAUAUUUUUCCCAAUAAAAAUACUCACAAUUGUAUUUU